AUCACAUUCUUGCUUUCUCUCAUGAAUGACUUCUAUUAUCCUGUCAUACUCUCUUAGGAAGCUUGUUGCACUGAAUUUAGCCCCCACUCCCCUUUUGAACAGUGCAUUUGUCAUACUCUCUUCGAGGUACAGCGACUGCCCUUUGAUGCUAUAUUCUAUUGCAUCUGAUUCGAUUGCAGGCAUCUGCACUCAAUGUUUUCAGAAAGUAUAGGUAAUGAAGUGUUGUAGAAUAAACAAGAGUAUUUCUGAUGUCCCCAUUUGUCCUUUUUUUGCAUGUAUGCAUGUUUAUGCAUAUGUAGGGUGCAACAAGUAGGUAAGAAAUGCAGUAAAGCAUGUUGCAAGUCAUUGACAAGGUUUUUUGUACAAUUUUUUCUUUGAAGCCAGAGUUAUUUGUGUCAAUUCCAGUAGUCUCUUCAUACACAAGUUUCUGAUUUCUUCUAUUUAUGUGCAAAUCAGAGCUUGUAAUUUACAAGGUAGGGUGCAGAGUGUCAGUGCUUAACCUGAUUGUCCUCAGUCUUUUUUUCUGAUAAUUUUACUUUCACUGUUAAUUUUCAUGGCAUAUUAGAUUAAGUGUGAACUAGUAUCAGAUCAUAGUAAUUUGAACUACAACUUUGGACAGUACAAUUGUUUCUAAAAUACAGUCAUAUGUUCACAGCUUUAUACUGAAAUCUAAUCUGCCAUGUCUAAAAUACAGUCAUAGAUUCACAGAUACAAAUGUCCAAACAUGAUCAAAAGUAUCUGAACAAUGUACAGUUUCUCAGCACCAAACUUCUGAAAUUACAGCAGUACUACUCUUUUUGUUUGAACAAGUUUUUCCUAAAUGGAAUUCAUAGCUUCCUCANNNNNNNNNNUUUUUUUUCUUUUUCAAGCUCAAACACAUGCAACCUCGUUGUAUCUUCCAUUUUCUUUCAGAACUUCCUGAAGAUGCGAAUGUUGUAGAGCUCAUACACUUGUCGUUCUAUACUGUAUUUGGACCAGAACUUCUUGGGCGCAUCCUUUUUGUUUCUAGACAAGUGAUCACAUUCUUGCUUUCUCUCAUGAAUGACUUCUAUUAUCCUGUCAUACUCUCUUAGGAAGCUUGUUGCACUGAAUUUAGCCCCCACUCCCCUUUUGAACAGUGCAUUUGUCAUACUCUCUUCGAGGUACAGCGACUGCCCUUUGAUGCUAUAUUCUAUUGCAUCUGAUUCGAUUGCAGGCAUCUGCACUCAAUGUUUUCAGAAAGUAUAGGUAAUGAAGUGUUGUAGAAUAAACAAGAGUAUUUCUGAUGUCCCCAUUUGUCCUUUUUUUGCAUGUAUGCAUGUUUAUGCAUAUGUAGGGUGCAACAAGUAGGUAAGAAAUGCAGUAAAGCAUGUUGCAAGUCAUUGACAAGGUUUUUUGUACAAUUUUUUCUUUGAAGCCAGAGUUAUUUGUGUCAAUUCCAGUAGUCUCUUCAUACACAAGUUUCUGAUUUCUUCUAUUUAUGUGCAAAUCAGAGCUUGUAAUUUACAAG
rnacentral:lncRNA from 1 species